UGUGUUGAUCAGAUAUGAAACCAAAAGAGGUAGUGAGGUGCUUGGCAUAUUAAAGGGGUUUAAUUAUGCUUUGAUGUACGGGUGGUGUGCAAAUGACAGAGAAGGGAGGUCAGCUUCGUAGGGAGGAUUAGACGGAGUGUUGAGGUAGGAGCCGAGCACGGGAGAUCAGGUAAUGCACAUCGGCGACUAAUUGGGUUCAGUUGUGAGGAAAAGACGUGUGCGGGGAAGGUCGACGAGUGCGGGUGGCCUAGUCGGGAUGGAGGUUGGAGCGAUUGGAUCGGCUUUGGGCAGUUUGGGGUGUUUCGCCGAAGUAGAGGAGGCGGAUGCGGGAGAUCUAGGCAUCAUAUAGGGGUGGUUUUGAAGCAAGUUUUGUCGAAUUGCGAGUAUCAGAGGUUAGUGAGGUAGGUUGGAGGAACAGAGAGGAGUGCGGUUCACGAGUUCGAGUCAUGGAAGCUAUGGGAAGAGGAGAAGAGGUCGAAAAAUACGGGCAAGGUCUUCGAACAGGGUGAUAGAUCGAAGGUAUGCGAGUUGUAGCGACUCGAUUGUGAGAGGGAUGAAGAACGUUAGGGAGUAGAGAGGGGGAUAUCGCAUGCCGAAGAAGAAGCCUUUGACUUCAAAUUUUUGUUUCAUUUUAACGAUGACAAGAGUGGACAAGCGAUUAAGGCUAGUGCGAGGAGACAUUUUCACAGAGCAGGGAUAAGCUGAGGAAGCUAAAUAUGCAGGGAUUUGUGCGAGACGUGAGAAGGAUUUUGGGCAAGGUGAACGAUAGAGGUUCCUGGAUGAGCCAUAUGCCAACUAGUUAGUUGUCAUAUAAAGUUUCCUCUUAGGUAUACUUUUACAUUGUAGCUUUAUACAUAUUGGUAUAAUUUCUCUCCUUUCUUUCUAUUGAUGCUUCUAUUGCUUUGUGCAUGUUCUAAAAGUGCAGAGUGUCCAGUCUUUGAAAGGAGCAGAGCGAAGCUGCCGACUUCUUCUUCAGACAUAGAUUUAGGAGAUAGACUUCAGUCCUCUCUGAAGGAUAAUAUACUCUUUUUCUUUUUGUUGGCUUAUUUAAGCUUGUAAAAAGAUGUAAAUUCACAUUUAUAUAUGUGAAUUUUGAAUCAAUAAAAGAAAUUAAUUUUGUGA